GUUCCGUCCUCUGUGACAUAAUCCCUACCCGAUGUAUUCAUAUAGCAGGCCUCACAUGCCAUCCUGAUGUCGGGUUUGUGGACAAAGAAGCAGUCGCAGUUACCAGUGUGUCUCGGAAGGCAACUUUCUACAAUAGACCAAGCUCUACGGACUUCAUAAAUGUCCAUGACAUUUUUCUUGAAUGUGAUCAUGAUUCAAUCAUAUACCUUGGGAAGUCUGUUGAACCAACAAUAUAUGAUCUUUUGGGUGAUCAAGAGGUUUGUAAUCUGGACUUUUCUGAAAACUUUGUAAUAUCUUCUUUCUGCUAUGCUUCUUGGUUAUUUUGGAAUCUUUCUGCCACAAUUUUGCAAUGCAAGGUUGAAAUCUGCUUGUUGAAAAAUGGAAAACCAUCAUGGACGAAGAAGAAGUUUCUUUGCUCCAAAGUCAGGUUGUUGCGUCUUAAGACUGGCUCGAGGUGAC